rnacentral:rRNA from 1 species
AUAUUUGACAAUGGGCGCAAGCCCGAUCCAGCGAUGCGGCGCGUGUGAAGAAGGGCUUCGGGUUGUAAAGCCCUUUAUGCUGGGAGGCGGGGCAGUAAGUUAAUACCGUGCUGUUAUGACGUUACCGACAGAUGAAGCACCGUCCAACUUCACGCCAGCAGCCGCGGUAAUACGAAGGUUGCAAGCGUUAACCGGAAUUACUGGGGGUAAAGGGCGUGUAGGUGGGAUGUUAAGUUAGAAGUGAAAGCCACGGGCUCAACCUGGGAACUGCUUUCAAAACUGGCAAGCUUGAGUACUGGAGAGGCUGGUGGAAUUUCCUGUGUAGCGGUGAAAUGCGUAGAUAUUGGAAGGAACACCAGUGGCGAAGGCGACCACCUGGGCUAAUACUGACACUGAGGUGCGAAAGCGUGGGGAGCAAACA